rnacentral:sRNA from 2 species
UACAUCAGUCUGCCUAAUCCAGGGAUUGCCCCAAACAUUUUGUUACAUGGGGCUAAGCCGGGAGCGGAGGAACCAAGUUUGGGGCUAAUCUCACAAAAGAGGAAAGAAUGAAGAAUAAAGAAUGAAAAAAGACAAAAUUACUCUAGUUCUUAACUUCUGUCUUUUUUUUCCUUCUUCUCUCUUAUAGAGAGGGACAUCUCUCAGUCCUAGCCCGUCAGCUAACUUCGUMGGCAUUGAGAGGAGACUGA